rnacentral:rRNA from 1 species
GAUGAACGCUGGCGGCGUGCCUAAUACAUGCAAGUCGAGCGAACAGACGCGGCGCUUGCUCCUCUGACGUUAGCGGCGCACGGGUGAGUCACACGUGUAUCCUCUACCUAUCAGACUGAGAUCACUUCGAGACACCGGCGCUAAUACCGUAUAAUCUCUUGCACCGUAUUGGUCAAUAGUGAAUGACGGCUUUGCUGUCACUUCUCGAUGCAUCCGAGCCUCAUUAUCUAGUUGUUACUGUAACGGCUUACCACGGCUACGAUGCCUAGCCGAGCUGAGGGUGGUCGGCCACACUGGAACGGAGACACGGUCCAGAGUCCUACGGGAGGCAGCAGUAGGGAAUCGUCCGCCAGGGGCGAAAGCCUGACGGAGCAGCGCCGCGUGAUGGAGGAAGGUCGUCGGAUCGUAAAACUCGGUUAUUAGGGAAGAACAAGUGUUUAAGUAACUAGGCACGUCUUUACGGUACCUAAGUAGAAAGCCACGGCUAACUACGUU